rnacentral:lncRNA from 1 species
GACUAAGAAACUCUUUUAUCUACUGCGAUAACUAAGGAUGUUAAAAUGGGUUUGAAACCCACAUGCCUAAAUGGGUUUUGAUAAAAAACAAAUGCCCAUUUAGACUCAUUUAGCUAUUCGAGUAUUAAAUGAGUAACCCUUUUAAGACCCAUUUAUUAAAUAAGUUCUACUUAAAAUUAAUGGAGACUCUUUUAACCCAUUUAACUUACUACUAGGUGACCGGUCCGCACAGGGUGCAGACAUAAGAAAAUUCAAAAUAUGGAAUAAAUAUUAUAUAGUUUUUAGAA